rnacentral:rRNA from 1 species
AUUGAACGCUGGCGGCAUGCUUUACACAUGCAAGUCGAACGGUAACAGGCCGCAAGGUGCUGACAAGUGGCGAACGGGUGAGUAAUGCAUCGGAACGUGCCCAGUCGUGGGGGAUAACGCAGCGAAAGCUGUGCUAAUACCGCAUACGAUCUAUGGAUGAAAGCGGGGGACCGUAAGGCCUCGCGCGAUUGGAGCGGCCGAUGUCAGAUUAGGUAGUUGGUGGGAAAAGGCUCACCAAGCCAACGAUCUGUAGCUGGUCUGAGAGGACGACCAGCCACACUGGGACUGAGACACGGCCCAGACUCCUACGGGAGGCAGCAGUGGGGAAUUUUGGACAAUGGACGCAAGUCUGAUCCAGCAAUGCCGCGUGCAGGACGAAGGCCUUCGGGUUGUAAACUGCUUUUGUACGGAACGAAACGGUGAGCUCUAAUACAGUUUGCUAAUGACGGUACCGUAAGAAUAAGCACCGGCUAACUACGUGCCAGCCGCCGCGGUAA